UACGGGGGGGGCAAGCGUUGUUCGGAAUUACUGGGCGUAAAGGGCGCGUAGGCGGCCUGCUAAGUCGGAUGUGAAAUCCCUCGGCUCAACCGAGGAACUGCAUCCGAUACUGGCGGGCUUGAAUCCGGGAGAGGGAUGUGGAAUUCCAGGUGUAGCGGUGAAAUGCGUAGAUAUCAGGAAGAACACCCGUGGCGAAAGCGGCUCUCUGGAACGGUACUGACGCUCAUGCACGAAAGCGUGGGGAGCAAACAGG
rnacentral:rRNA from 1 species